GUUAAUCCUUGUGUUUUUCCUUGUAAUUAUCAGAUAUGUCGGCCAAGAAUUUUCAAGAAAUCGAUGAAGAGGUUCAAUGUAGCAUGGUGGGCAUACUCAUUUCCCUUAACAUUCCUCGCACUUGCCUCAGCAGAAUAUGCACAACAGGUUAAAGGCGUUGUAGCACCCACACUACUGCUCAUCAUUUCAGCCCUCUCAGUUUUGGUUUUCCUUGUAAUUUUGGUCAUUACUGUUAUCAACACCGAUAAGCUUUUGCGCGAAAGCGAUCCUUAUCUGGGUUUUACGGGCAAUACCUAUAAAUCCUAGAGCAGGUGAAUCUACCAGUCGAGGAUGUGGAAAAUAUCGAAAUAUGACAAAUUAUGCACUAUUAGACCCUACAAUCUAUAUAUUACAAAGUUAAGAUGAGUAACAUAAUGUAUAAAUAUUUGGCUAAACUUUUGCAUAGUACGAGUUUUAUAACGAUAAAACAGGCCUCUGUAUGUUCCGAUGAUAAAUCAUGGUAAGUGUGCUGUUUAAGAAAAUUUUGAAUUGUCUCUAAAAUCAAUCAUGUAGAUAUACAAUAUAAAACUCCUAUGGGGAAAUAUUGGAACAACCCGAUGUAGG
rnacentral:lncRNA from 1 species